rnacentral:sRNA from 1 species
UGAUCAGACAAGCAUUAAAU